ACGAACGCUUGCGGCGUGCUUCACACCUGCAAGUCGAACGGAAAGGCCCUGCUUUUGUGGGGUGCUCGAGUGGCGAACGGGUGAGUAACACGUGAGUAACCUGCCCUUGACUUUGGGAUAACUUCAGGAAACUGGGGCUAAUACCGGAUAGGAGCUCCUGCUGCAUGGUGGGGGUUGGAAAGUUUCGGCGGUUGGGGAUGGACUCGCGGCUUAUCAGCUUGUUGGUGGGGUAGUGGCUUACCAAGGCUUUGACGGGUAGCCGGCCUGAGAGGGUGACCGGCCACAUUGGGACUGAGAUACGGCCCAGACUCCUACGGGAGGCAGCAGUGGGGAAUAUUGCACAAUGGGCGGAAGCCUGAUGCAGCAACGCCGCGUGCGGGAUGACGGCCUUCGGGUUGUAAACCGCUUUCGCCUGUGACGAAGCGUGAGUGACGGUAAUGGGUAAAGAAGCACCGGCUAACUACGUG
rnacentral:rRNA from 1 species